GUGAGGUAACGGCUCACCAAGGCGACGACGGGUAGCCGGCCUGAGAGGGUGACCGGCCACACUGGGACUGAGACACGGCCCAGACUCCUACGGGAGGCAGCAGUGGGGAAUAUUGCACAAUGGGCGAAAGCCUGAUGCAGCGACGCCGCGUGAGGGAUGACGGCCUUCGGGUUGUAAACCUCUUUCAGUAGGGAAGAAGCGAAAGUGACGGUACCUGCAGAAGAAGCGCCGGCUAACUACGUGCCAGCAGCCGCGGUAAUACGUAGGGCGCAAGCGUUAUCCGGAUUUAUUGGGCGUAAAGAGCUCGUAGGCGGUUUGUCGCGUCUGCCGUGAAAGUCCGAGGCUCAACCUCGGAUCUGCGGUGGGUACGGGCAGACUAGAGUGAUGUAGGGGAGACUGGAAUUCCUGGUGUAGCGGUGAAAUGCGCAGAUAUCAGGAGGAACACCGAUGGCGAAGGCAGGUCUCUGGGCAUCUACUGACGCUGAGGAGCGAAAGCAUGGGGAGCGAACAGGAUUAGAUACCCUGGUAGUCCAUGCCGUAAACGUUGGGCACUAGGUGUGGGGAACAUUCCACGUUUUCCGCGCCGUAGCUAACGCAUUAAGUG
rnacentral:rRNA from 1 species